UUUCAAAAUAUGGUUUUGGAUUGAAAAUAAUAUUUAAUUGCUAAAUUACAGAGAGUUCUGCUUUGCCUAAGGUUUUUUUUUGUGUUUUUUUUUUUUUUUUUUUUUUUACCCAUAUGCCUCGAGUGAUUAAGUACUUGCAGGUGGUUUUUUUCAGCAUUUAUUAACUUGGCUCAAGUUUAAAUACAUUAUUGGUUGUCUUUUCUUUGGUGUCUCAGCUUGCUUUUUUUUUUUUUUCUGGAAAAAUAAUCAAAAGAAAUUCAUACCAAGGAAGACUGCUCACCUAGGUGAAUUCAUAAUCCUCACUCAGGAGAAGAAUGCAAGGAUCAAAGUGGGACAGCAGAAAGACAGCAAGUCAGGGAAAGGUUCCACAUCUUCUCUUGACAAGGAAAUGGUAACUUGAGUUUGUAAGCUGUGUGUUAAGUCAAAUAGCAUGUUGUGAAUGAUGAAUGAAGAAUGCUUAGCAAACUAAUAAACAACUUAAGACAUUCA
rnacentral:lncRNA from 1 species